AUUGAACGCUGGCGGCAUGCCUUACACAUGCAAGUCGAACGGCAGCACGGGUGCUUGCACCUGGUGGCGAGUGGCGAACGGGUGAGUAAUACAUCGGAACAUGUCCUGUAGUGGGGGAUAGCCCGGCGAAAGCCGGAUUAAUACCGCAUACGAUCUACGGAUGAAAGCGGGGGACCUUCGGGCCUCGCGCUAUAGGGUUGGCCGAUGGCUGAUUAGCUAGUUGGUGGGGUAAAGGCCUACCAAGGCGACGAUCAGUAGCUGGUCUGAGAGGACGACCAGCCACACUGGGACUGAGACACGGCCCAGACUCCUACGGGAGGCAGCAGUGGGGAAUUUUGGACAAUGGGCGAAAGCCUGAUCCAGCAAUGCCGCGUGUGUGAAGAAGGCCUUCGGGUUGUAAAGCACUUUUGUCCGGAAAGAAAUCCUUGGCUCUAAUACAGUCGGGGGAUGACGGCACCGGAAGAAUAAGCACCGGCUAACUACGUG
rnacentral:rRNA from 1 species